GCCCAGGUGGCGGAAUUGGUAGACGCGCAUGGUUGAGGGCCAUGUGACCGAAUUAGGUCGUGCUGGUUCGACUCCAGUUCUGGGCA
rnacentral:tRNA from 1 species